GCCGGACACAGUGGUACCAGAAGUACCUCUGUUGCGAGAAAAGUGGACAGUAUCUUUGUCGGAGUUACUAGGCGACGCCUAAUUUCAUAAGCACCCACGGUUGUCCGGGAGGAGAUGGGAAGGGUGCCUGUUCUCCAGGGCAAGUGGAGUGUAGAUAGGUGUCACCCCGUAAUCCCACUCUGUUCCUUAUUACCAGUGGCACCGGAGGUCGGGUACCAGCCGGUUUCCAAGGCCUUCAAAAUCACUUUUUUACAGUGCCACUACUAGACCCGGGGUCAGGAGUCGAAAACCAGAGCAAGAUGGCAGCUGAAAAUCAAUGUUCCGGUUAACCGAGUUUGGGAGACACUUGGCUCGGAGGGAUUUCUUUUGGACCCGGUUGUCCCAAAUGCUGCCACCCCGGUCUACGGUGAAGAGUCC